CCUACGGGAGGCUGCAGUGGGGAAUAUUGCACAAUGGGCGCAAGCCUGAUGCAGCCAUGCCGCGUGUGUGAAGAAGGCCUUCGGGUUGUAAAGCACUUUCAGCGGGGAGGAAGGCGUUAAGGUUAAUAACCUUGUCGAUUGACGUUACCCGCAGAAGAAGCACCGGCUAACUCCGUGCCAGCAGCCGCGGUAAUACGGAGGGUGCAAGCGUUAAUCGGAAUUACUGGGCGUAAAGCGCACGCAGGCGGUCUGUCAAGUCGGAUGUGAAAUCCCCGGGCUCAACCUGGGAACUGCAUUCGAAACUGGCAGGCUAGAGUCUUGUAGAGGGGGGUAGAAUUCCAGGUGUAGCGGUGAAAUGCGUAGAGAUCUGGAGGAAUACCGGUGGCGAAGGCGGCCCCCUGGACAAAGACUGACGCUUAGGUGCGAAAGCGUGGGGAGCAAACAGGAUUAGAUACCCGAGUAGUC
rnacentral:rRNA from 1 species